rnacentral:lncRNA from 1 species
UUCGGCUAGGGUUUCUGAUUUGCUGGAAUUUUAGUUAGCGGGCUGUUGGGUUUGGGCUUAGGGUUAUUUUUGUUUUAGGUUAAUUUUUGGGCUAUUAGAUUAUUGGGUUUCGGGUGGUCUGGGCCUGUUGUAAAUGGACUGAACCAUUAACUUUUAUUUUUGUUUUGUUGUUUGUUUUUUUUUAUUAGUUUGUGUUUGGUUUCUUUAGUGGGUCGGGAAAAUUUGGGCUUCUACAUAGGGGAUGUGAUAAUUAGAUCCGAUAAUAUCACGUGGGUUGGAAAACUGUAAGUUUUGUCCUAAAGUACGUUCGAACAACUUGAAAAGCAUGGUAAAUAUGUUAAAUUGGGUUUAAGACUAAUGGUUUAAAAAUGUAUUCGAUAAGUUAUGUAUAUGAGUAUGACAUGUAAU